rnacentral:rRNA from 3 species
CCCGAUGAACCUGAAUAUCCGUUAUGGAAAAUUCAUCAUUAAAAUUGUAAUAUUUAAAUAAUAUUAUUAAGAAUAAUGUGCAUUUUUUCCAUAUAAGGACAUUGUAAUCUAUUAGCAUAUCCCAAAUUUAUCAUAAAAUAUAACUUAUAGUUUAUUCCAAUUAAAUUGCUUGCAUUUUAACACAGAAUAAAUGUUAUUAAUUUGAUAAAGUGCUGAUAGAUUUAUAUUAUUACAGAGCGUUAAUUUUUCGGAAUUAUAUAAUGGCAUAAUUAUCAUUGAUUUUUGUGUUUAUUAUAUGCUCUUGUAUGAUUAACAAUGCGAAAGAUUCAGGAUACUUCGGG